rnacentral:rRNA from 1 species
GAUGAACGCUGGCGGUAUGCCUUACACAUGCAAGUCGAACGGGAAUUGGCUUCGGUUAAUUCUAGUGGCGGACGGGUGAGUAACACGUGAGAAUUCGCCUUUAGGAGGGGGAUAACGAGUGGAAACAUUCGCUAAAACCCCAUAUGCCCCAGGGUGAAAAAGAGGUUAAUAGUAAAACUGAAUAACCUCUGCCUGAAGAGAAGCUCGCGGCUGAUUAGCUAGUUGGUAGGGUAAUGGCCUACCAAGGCGACGAUCAGUAGCUGGUCUGAGAGGACGAUCAGCCACACUGGAACUGAGACACGGUCCAGACUCCUACGGGAGGCAGCAGUGAGGAAUUUUCUGCAAUGGGCGAAAGCCUGACAGAGCAAUACCGCGUGAGGGAUGAAGACUUACUGAGUUGUAAACCUCGGUGCCUUAAGGAAGAAGAUCUGACGGUACUUAAGGUGGAAAGCAUCGGCUAACUCCGUGCCAGCCGCCGCCGUAACAC